UGCCUCUAAAAUUAAAAUUCCUGCAUGAGGUAUAAAUGUUUCAAGAGAAGGAAAGAAAAAAAAACCUAUUAAGUAGAACUUGAGCACGCAGUGAGAUCCCCUCCAGUCACGCUCUGUGCAGAGCCACCCAAAAAAGAGGGCUCAGCUGCUUUCUAGGGGUCACCCAAAAGGCCAAAGGGUUUUUUGAGGUGGCAAUAAGGGGGCUCCCUGCACUCCCCAGCUGCAGUAUAACUCAUGGCAGAAGCUGAGCGGACUUAAGGGCUGGAGGGAGGGGGAGCAUCAGCCUCCUCCUCACUUGGUGCAUGGCGUGUUCUCUAAGUUUCUUUCUUUAUUGAAUCGUUGAGAACGGCUGCAAUUUUCAGUUCUCCACCUGGGCUUGCACCAAGGCUGGGCUGGAAGCAGACACAGCUGCCUCGUGCCUCAGAGCCCAUCCCCAGCGCUGCUCCUGGACAUCUCCCUGACCUGAUGGCCACCGAACGCCCAUGGGAGCCCCCAGCCCCUAGGAAUAAGGCAGUGGUGUUUUGGGGCUGCUCUGCCCCCCAGCCCAUGAGGAGCAACGCAGGCACAGAGGACUGCACCGUCACAGCCAAGGCGGUCAGCUCGGUUCAUCCAUCACCACAGCCCACGGCCAGCACUGGGGCUGGUGAUGCUUUGGACCCUUUUCCUUUCAGGCCGUGUGCUUUAGGAUUAAUCGCUUAACUGUUGGAAAGAUGACGAAACUGGAGCGCGAGGAGCGAUGCGGUAGCGAUGCUUCAGGGAUGUCGGGCUCACCCCCCGCUCCGCUCACUGCCUCGCACCGGUGUGCAGCCAUGGCCUCGCAGCAGGGAGGAGGCAGAGCGGCUCCUAAUGAGGCACUGGGAACACGCUGAGCCUUCUGGCUCGUGAGCAGAGAGCCGCAGAUGGGAGCCCCUGCCCUAUGGACUGUGACAGCUCCGGUGCUAAAGCGCAGCCAAGCUUCCAGAAGCUUCUCUCAAAGAAUGCUGCGGCUUAUCUCUGUUUGCUCCUGGCACCUGUUCUUCUCUUUCCCCAUCCCAUCCCCGCCCCGCAAACAGCCGUGCCAGCGCUCGUGCCUUUUUCAGGAGUAAUGCUCCCUUCAUCCCUGGGGCUGCGGGGACGGCGCUGCCCAUCCCGCUCUGGAGAAGGCGUCUCAUGGGCUGACGAACCUGAGAUUGACCCUCAUGUUUCACCAUUCUCAGGUUAGACAGUCCUUGAGGUGCCCCUCUCUUGGGCAGCCACCGCCCCAUGCCCCGCAUCCUGUGUCUUGCACCCACCCAGAUCCCCCAUCCAUGGGGAUUUUGUGAGAGAGAGCAGAGACGCAGCCCCUCAGCUCUGCUGUGCCUCAGCUUCUCUGCAUCCAUGCCUGAGCACGAGGUUCUGCAGGAGUCGGCCCCUUCCCAAAUGCACGCUCACCUGCUGAGCUUCCUCCUGCAACCAGUGGUGGUGGAAACCUUUGCACAACCAGAGUGCAGGGCUAAGAGCCGUGCUGCUGCAUGCUGCAUGCACCCAACGCCUUCCAAAUAGGCCCAGGGCGGCUCCAGCCCCACAAAUCCUUGUCUGGCCAUGGGCUGUGCCGUUGGGACAGAGAUGGAGCAGCAGAUUCCCUUCCUUUGCUCCCAUUUGCAGAUGGCAGCACCCAGCGAGCAUCGGGACGCUUCCGCAGGGCUCACCUAAAUUCUGCCGCCCGAAAUCUGCACCCAGCUCUGCAGAGAUGCCCAUGGAGUCUGCACCAGGCCAAGAAGAGCCAUUCUGGCUGUAGAACAUAGAGUCUGUGGAUGGAAAACAAAGGGAAAGUUGGAAAACCUCCUGCUGUGAAAACGCUGGUGCUAGCGGAGUGCCCCCAGAUGCAAAGCACCGUGCUCCUCCUGCGGGGCCGCAGCACCGCAUCCACCAUGGGGACACGUGGCCAUGGUCCUGCUGCCUCUGCAAAGGGCAGUGAGCAUCGGCUGCUGCACCCAGCUCUGCUCCAGACAGCACUGCUCCCUUGCUCCUCCCCGGUCCUGCUCCUUCCAAAUGUGCCCUGCCCCCCAGCUCUCACUUUUCAGGGGCUUUGGGGUAUUCUCCCCUUUGUAUCAGAGCUGCCUGGGGACUGCGUGGUUGCUGCAGUGACUGGUUGGUGCUGCUCAGCCGUCCCUGCUUGUGUUGUUUGCAUGAGAAAGGAACUGAGAGAGGGGGGCAUCUGCAUGGGUUUUGUUUGGUUUUACUUGUUUUUUUUUCUUUCAGUUCAUGGAAAGCAGAGGAGGAAUGCUCCAGAUCCAAGAUCUCCUCCUCACCUCCACGUGCAUUUUGAUGCCCCACGUUUUGGCUGCGGUGCGAUGAGCCCUGUGGAUCUGGGUCAUGGGCAAAGCUGUGUGCUCCUGGUUGCAGCCCAGCAGAGAAUGCCACUCUGAGCUGGGAAACUACGGGGCUGGAGAAGGAGACCCAAAGCAAGGAGAACCUUCCCGAAGUGCAGCUCCUGAGCGAACAGGACCAAGGGCUGAGAGGUCAACGUCAAGUGUCACUGAAGAAGUUUCCAGUCACUCUCUGUGUUGGCAACAGGAAACCAGCAGGCAGAGAGCUCAAAAGGAAAAGGAGUCAUUUGUUCUGACCUGAGAGAGCCCCACCAAUGGGCAGUGCUGGAGGGGCCUCAGCCCAGGGCUGGCAGCAGCGAAACCUUCACCUCUUUCAGAAAAACCCAGGCCCAUCUGCUGCAGAAGGAGAAAACACAGCCCAAAAACUCUCCUUGCAGGCGCUUCUGCCUUGAAAUGAGUGUGUUUGCUCUUUGAUGGUCAAGCAGAUAUUGUUCUCAG